GAUGAACGCUGGCGGCGUGCCUAACACAUGCAAGUCGAGCGAAGCACUUACUUUAGAUUUCUUCGGAAUGACGAAGUUUGUGACUGAGCGGCGGACGGGUGAGUAACGCGUGGGCAACCUGCCCUGUACAGGGGGAUAACAGUUAGAAAUGACUGCUAAUACCGCAUAAGCCCACAGCUUCGCAUGAAGCAGUGGGAAAAACUCCGGUGGUACAGGAUGGGCCCGCGUCUGAUUAGCUAGUUGGUAAGGUAACGGCUUACCAAGGCGACGAUCAGUAGCCGACCUGAGAGGGUGACCGGCCACAUUGGGACUGAGACACGGCCCAAACUCCUACGGGAGGCAGCAGUGGGGAAUAUUGCACAAUGGGGGAAACCCUGAUGCAGCGACGCCGCGUGAGCGAUGAAGUAUUUCGGUAUGUAAAGCUCUAUCAGCAGGGAAGAAAGUGACGGUACCUGACUAAGAAGCCCCGGCUAACUACAUG
rnacentral:rRNA from 1 species